AUGAUCAUCUUAUUUCUCUAUUUCCCGAUGAAUUCUUCCUUCUUCUCCUCUACCAUCUCCCAACUGUCCGCCUCGCCUAGCCCGAGCCGGUGCCUCCCAUGUGUUGAUGUCGCUCCUGGCCAUCUAUCAACCUCGAACUCUCCUCCAGCAGUGGCGACGUUGCCACAUCGACCAGGAGCUACUUCGGGGGCGCUUCUAUCCGUUGCUGCACCGCCGUCUAGGCCCCUCGGAGAGCUUCAUCCAAAACCAAUAGACGGGAAAGAAAGUUUCAAGCAACUGAAGAAUAGCAAAACCGACCAAAAUUAUGUUUUGGCUCUUUAUGAUGUACAUUUAAAAAGUUGUUGA
rnacentral:rRNA from 1 species